rfam:Trichoderma atroviride IMI 206040 TRIATcontig_26, whole genome shotgun sequence.
GCGGCCUUAGCUCAGCUGGGAGAGCGUCAGACUGAAGUUACAACUUCAAUCAUCAAAUUAUCUGAAGGUCGUGUGUUCAAGCCACACAGGCCGCA